CCUACGGGUGGCAGCAGUGAGGAAUAUUGGUCAAUGGGCGCGAGUCUGAACCAGCCAAGUAGCGUGAAGGAAGACUGCCCUACGGGUUGUAAACUUCUUUUAUAAAGGAAUAAAGUGACGCACGUGUCUUUUCUUGUACGUACUUUAUGAAUAAGGAACGGCUAACUCCGUGCCAGCAGCCGCGGUAAUACGGAGGAUCCGAGCGUUAUCCGGAUUUAUUGGGUUUAAAGGGAGCGUAGAUGGGUUGUUAAGUCAGUUGUGAAAGUUUGCGGCUCAACCGGAGAAUUGCAAUUGAUACUGGGAGUCUUGAGUGCAGAUGAGGUGAGCGGAAUUCGUGGUGUAGCGGUGAAAUGCUUAGAUAUAAGGAAGAACACCAGUGGCGAAGGCGGCUUACUAAACUGCAACUGACGUUGAGGCUCGAAAGUGUGGGGAGCAAACAGGAUUAGAUACCCUAGUAGUC
rnacentral:rRNA from 1 species